UACGAAAGCUUCACACACACGGGUUUUGGUCUGGGCACCCCAGAGACUUCGGCUCUGGCGUUUCGGUACUGACGCGUCAUCAGAGGGAACAUCUUUGCAUGUAUUUGUUCCCAGCAGUACUGGGAACUAGUUCGGAGGUGGUGAUAUCACCACUCCCUAACAGACCACGGGUACAUUCUUUACUAACCCUUAACAAUGCUUUUCAUCAUUUCCAUUUUUACCCGCGAGUUUCCAACCCAGCUUGUAGCUACUGAAAUGGGUACCCAUCUGUUAUUGUUGUUCGCGGUGGUACUAAUUUGGAAGAAGCGUUAUUAUGCAGCUGAAGGACUUUUAAAAGCCUUUUUAGCCUUAUGUCAUCUAUAAAUAUAAAUUACAGAUAUAAUGUGCAUACAAAAACAAAAAAAUGUACUUCCAAGUAACACCCCAUACAAAUUCCUUAAAUUUUUAAAUGCCGAUUUGAUUUGGACUCCUUCGCCGUUAUAUUGCAUAACGACGGCAUUCUCCAAAAUGUUAAAAUUAAAAUAUUAAAAAAAAAAUGUUAAAUCCCGCUGCGCUGUAAAUCAACUUUUAUGGCAUC